ensembl:lncRNA
UUUUGCUUCUAAAAAAAACCCCUUUUUUUCUUACCUUUUUAAUAUUUUUUGUUCACUCACCCUUUCUGUUGUCCUUGCCCUCCCUCAUUCGUCUCAGUAUAGCAGUUAUCUUCUCUCCUUUUUCAUCAGGUUCUCCUGGGGAGAGUGCUAGUGAUGUUGAGUGUUGUGUGUCUGCAUCUGCACUGUGUGUGUGUAAUGAGAGGGAUAUCCUCUUGGAGACUCCUGUCUGGCAAGAGCUGGAAAGAGAUCAUCACCUUGUGGACCUGAUAUCAACAGAGAGAGACAGAGAGAGAGAGAGUGAAAAACAAGGAAAGAGAGAUGAACAACCACCAUUUUGUUCCCAUUGGAGUAAUGCUGUAGAGCACUUGCAUCAGACAACAAGGUACCUGUAGAAUGCUUCUUGUCUCUCUCUCUCUCUCCCCCCCCCGUUUACAUGUUUGUUUGAAUAUGUUUGCUUGCUGUGGUGAUUUGUAACAUGUAAAAGUGUUUAACUAGUAAGAUGUUAGCUGGACUGGAUAUCUGCAAUCUUACAGAGAGCUAUCAGAUGUUUGGUUCUCCAUUUCUAAUUAUGUUCUCUUCCUUAAUGUCGUUUGAUUUAUUUAUUUAUUAUUAUUAUUAUUUUUUGCCCAAAAAAAUAUCUCCCUGACAAUGUUUUAAAGCUGUUUGUCUUUUAGUUCAUAGGAGUUCUGAUCUGUAUUCAUAGGACACCAUUUGUUCUCUCUCCAGUCGAUGUCUGAUGUGAAUGUAGUUGGUCUGCACACCUGAGACAUAAAACCGUCUUUAGCAAAUCCACAUUUGAGUUCUGACUUCGUGUUCUCUGUAUGUUCGGUCCACAGAGACGACGCCUGCUAGUGUAGUCCCUCAGCACCUGUGGAGACGUGCUAGUUUGUGUGCGCCAUUACGAUGAUUCAGUCCGACCCCGCACAGAUAAUUUAGAUUGGGUGUCAGUUUAAUUAGGACAUCCGCUGUCUCCCCGCUGAACCCAACGCCUAAGAGUUUAGCUUCAUUUUGUGUCAUGAGAUUCAA